GACGAACGCUGGCGGCGUGCUUAACACAUGCAAGUCGAACGGAAAGGCCCUGCAUUUGUUGGGUGCUCGAGUGGCGAACGGGUGAGUAACACGUGAGUAACCUGCCCUCGACUUUGGGAUAACUUCAGGAAACUGGGGCUAAUACCGGAUAGCAGCUCCUGCUGCAUGGUGGGGGUUGGAUAGUUUCGGCGGUUGGGGAUGGACUCGCGGCUUAUCAGCUUGUUGGUGGGGUAGUGGCUUACCAAGGCUUUGACGGGUAGCCGGCCUGAGAGGGUGACCGGGCACAUUGGGACUGAGAUACGGCCCAGACUCCUACGGGAGACAGCAGUGGGGAAUAUUGCACAAUGGGGGGAAGCCGGAUGCAGCAACGCCGCGUGAGGGAUGACGGCCUUCGGGUUGUAAACCGCUAUCGCAUGUGACGAAGCGUGAGUGACGGUAAUGGGUAAAGAAGCACCGGCUAACUACGUG
rnacentral:rRNA from 1 species